UAUAUUUUAGUGUAAGAUGCACAAUAGUUUUUGAUUCUAUUAGAUAUAGUUUAAUUCUAUAAAAUAUAA
rnacentral:tRNA from 4 species